ACUGAAGGAAUAUCCAAGAGGCAUUUGCAGACACUUGUGACAUCACAGGAGAAGCUAGGGCUCUCCAGGAUACAAGAGAUUUUUCAUGGAGGGCCUAAUGAUGAAUGUCUCUGAGAACUGCCAUGGCCUACCUGUAAACAGCUUUCUUUACAUUGACCAGUUUCAAGAGUGCCUUUCCAGGUCUCCAGUCUUUCCAAUUCUCCUCCAAAUGUGUUGGAGAAGACCCCUCUGGUCGAGGGGAGGUACAACAAGCCCCAUCAAACAAAAUGGUCUCCACAUCUUCUUCUCUUAAAGUCUUGACCUAGAUGCGCAGAAUUCAUGUUAAAAUUCCAGCUAAAAUUAUAGCUGUAGGAGCCAACAAAAGUACAUAUAUAUACAUCAGCCACCGAAACUACACAAGAUUGAUGGAGAUUUUAAAAAAAGAUUACAAGAGCUGAAGGGCUUUAACACUACAAGAACAACAAUGCCAAUGAACCAGAGCUUUCUGAUACUAGAACAAUAUUCAAAGAAUGUACAUGGACAGAGCUAUGGCUCCAACUGCAUAUGUGGAAGAGAAUAGACUUUGUGGGCACCAAUGGAAGGAGAAGUCCUUGGUCCUCCCUAGGUUUGACUCCAAGUUCAAGGUAAUGUCAAGGGGUAAUAAGGAGGGUUAUAGCAGAAGGGCAGGGUAACGAGUAAAUGAUCUUUUAGGCAGGAAACUGGGAAAGGAAAUAACAUUUUAAAUGAAAAUAUAGAAACAUCCAGUUAAAAAAAGCAAUAAAAUUUGCUAAAAAAUGAAAGACAUAAAAUAAAAGUAAACUGCCAACUA